rnacentral:rRNA from 1 species
GUGCCAGCCGCCGCGGUAAUACCGGCAGCUCAAGUGAUGUCCCAUAUUAUUGGGCCUAAAGCGUCCGUAGCUGGCCGACCAAGUCUCCCGGGAAAUCCACCCGCCCAACGGGUGGGCGUCCGGUGGAAACUACACGGCUUGGGACCGGAAGGCGCGACGGGUACGUCCAGGGUAGGAGUGAAAUCCCGUAAUCCUGGACGGACCGCCGAUGGCGAAAGCACGUCGCGAGAACGGAUCCGACAGUGAGGGACGAAAGCUAGGGUCUCGAACCGGAUUAGAUACCCGAGUAGUCC